AUCCUCCCGUCCUUGACAUGAUACCAGAGCUUCAUGCGAAAAACAAGAAGCGAAUAUUUCUUUCGCUUGGUUUAUUCAGCUAUGUUAUAACUUUGAUACAAUUUUGGUUUAUCACUUCACAUGAAAAGGAAUCCAAUGCAAUUGUGGAAGAUGAAAAAUGAAAAUCAAAACGUUGCUUGGGUUUUCAUGCUGGCUUAUCGAGGAGAACAGGUUCAUCACGGUCACGCCUGAAACUGAAGUUCUGAAAGCGAAGCAACUGAUGAUAGGUACUACUUUCUGCUUCAUUUCUUUUUUGAAUGCCCUUUUUUAGUGUAU